UCCUACGGGGGGCUGCAGUCGAGAAUAUUCCCCAAUGGACGAAAGUCUGAGGGAGCGACGCCGCGUGCAGGAAGAAGGGCUUCGGCUCGUAAACUGCUUUUGCCGAGAAAGAAUCAUGACGGUACUCGGAGAAUAAGAGGUUGCUAACUCUGUGCCAGCAGCAGCGGUAAUACAGAGACCUCAAGCGUUAUCCGGAUUAAUUGGGCGUAAAGGGUCCGCAGGUGGUUUCGUGCGUCUCUUGUCAAAUGUAAAGGCUCAACUUUUACACCGCGAGGGAUACGACGAGACUAGAGACUGGGAGGGGCAAGCGGAAUUACCGGUGUAGUAGUAAAAUGCGUUAAUAUCGGUAAGAACACCAAAAGCGAAGGCAGCUUGCUAGAACAGUUCUGACACUCAGGGACGAAAGCGUGGGUAGCGAAAGGGAUUAGAUACCCUGGUAGUC
rnacentral:rRNA from 1 species